CAGCCGCCACGGGAAUACGUAGGGUGCAAGCGUUAAUCGGAAUUACUGGGCGUAAAGCGUGCGCAGGCGGUUUGUUAAGACAGAUGUGAAAUCCCCGGGCUCAACCUGGGAACUGCAUUUGUGACUGGCAAGCUAGAGUCUGGCAGAGGGGGGUGGAAUUCCGCGUGUAGCAGUGAAAUGCGUAGAUAUGCGGAGGAACACCGAUGGCGAAGGCAGCCCCCUGGGCCAACACUGACGCUCAUGCACGAAAGCGUGGGGAGCAAACAGGAUUAGAUACCCCAGUAGUCCCUGUCUCUUAUAC
rnacentral:rRNA from 1 species